GACGAACGCUGGCGGCGUGCCUAAUACAUGCCAGUAGAACGCACAGUUUAUACCGUAGCUUGCUACACCAUAGACUGUGAGUUGCGAACGGGUGAGUAACGCGUAGGUAACCUGCCUGGUAGCGGGGGAUAACUAUUGGAAACGAUAGCUAAUACCGCAUAAUAUUAAUUAUUGCAUGAUAAUUAAUUGAAAGGUGCAAUUGCACCACUACCAGAUGGACCUGCGUUGUAUUAGCUAGUAGGUGAGGUAACGGCUCACCUAGGCGACGAUACAUAGCCGACCUGAGAGGGUGAUCGGCCACACUGGGACUGAGACACGGCCCAGACUCCUACGGGAGGCAGCAGUAGGGAAUCUUCGGCAAUGGACGAAAGUCUGACCGAGCAACGCCGCGUGAGUGAAGAAGGGUUUCGGAUCGUAAAGCUCUGUUGUAAGAGAAGAACGGGGGUGAGAGUGGAAAGUUCACACUGUGACGGUAUCUUACCAGAAAGGGACGGCUAACUACGUG
rnacentral:rRNA from 1 species